UAUUCCUACGGGGCGCAGCAGUGGGGAAUAUUGCACAAUGGGGGAAACCCUGAUGCAGCGACGCCGCGUGGGCGAGGAAGUACCUCGGUAUGUAAAGCCCUAUCAGCAGGGAAGAAACAGGACAGUACCUGACUAAGAAGCCCCGGCUAACUACGUGCCAGCAGCCGCGGUAAUACGUAGGGGGCAAGCGUUAUCCGGAUUUACUGGGUGUAAAGGGAGCGUAGACGGCAGCGCAAGUCUGGAGUGAAAUGCCGGGGCUCAACCCCGGAACUGCUUUGGAAACUGUGCAGCUAGAGUGCGGGAGG
rnacentral:rRNA from 1 species